UUGGAGGAAGACGAGGUGUUGAGAGAUAGC
rnacentral:piRNA from 1 species